UACGAAGGGGGCUAGCGUUGCUCGGAAUCACUGGGCGUAAAGCGCACGUAGGCGGCUUUUUAAGUCAGGGGUGAAAUCCUGGAGCUCAACUCCAGAACUGCCUUUGAUACUGGGAAGCUUGAGUCCGGGAGAGGUGAGUGGAACUCCGAGUGUAGAGGUGAAAUUCGUAGAUAUUCGCAAGAACACCAGUGGCGAAGGCGGCUCACUGGCCCGGUACUGACGCUGAGGUGCGAAAGCGUGGGGAGCAAACAGG
rnacentral:rRNA from 1 species